CCUACGGGAGGCAGCAGUAGGGAAUAUUGCUCAAUGGGGGAAACCCUGAAGCAGCAAAGCCGCGUGGAGGAUGAAGGUUUUCGGAUUGUAAACUCCUUUUGUUAGAGAAGAUAAUGACGGUAUCUAACGAAUAAGCACCGGCUAACUCCGUGCCAGCAGCCGCGGUAAUACGGAGGGUGCAAGCGUUACACGGAAUCACUGGGCGUAAAGGGCGCGUAGGCGGGAUAGCAAGUCAGAUGUGAAAUCCUAUGGCUUAACCAUAGAACUGCAUUUGAAACUGUUAUUCUAGAGUAUGGGAGAGGUAGGUGGAAUUCUUGGUGUAGGGGUAAAAUCCGUAGAGAUCAAGAGGAAUACUCAUUGCGAAGGCGACCUGCUAGAACAUAACUGACGCUGAUGCGCGAAAGCGUGGGGAGCAAACAGGAUUAGAUACCCGGGUAGUC
rnacentral:rRNA from 1 species